CUCGGGCAGUGAUUCUUCUCGGACAAUCUCUCUCUUUUCCUUCGGUUCUUCCAUGCUCGAGAUUAUAAGCCCCGAAAAGAAAACGGGAAAAAGAGAGGGAACUCUCAGAUGUGGGAAGACACAGUUUGUGAGGAUUGCUGUGGCACUCCAAUCGGAAUAAGACUCAUUCUAAAGCCGCUCGUGCUGUCGAUGAUGAAGAAAACUGGACUGCUGGAAUUAAUCUGUGCAUCUGGCUGCAACUGCAGAGAUAUCAGGGGCUAUUCAAAUCCGGUCUGGUGGUCGACAAUAUUUACCUCUUCUUAAAUUAUACACUACAACAUUGAAGCGCGAAUAAAGUUAAAUGUAAAGACCAUACGUCUCAUUAUAUUUCGGAAUCGGUUUAAAAAUUUAUCAUGCCUUGACAUGUUCUCCUCACUUUUUUCCGUGCCAACUGGUGUAGAUAUUUAUGGACUGCCCAACUUAUUGUUGGACUAAUCGGUUUCGAAAUUGCCUCGCGCAUAUUUGAAAAGUAAAAAGUGGAAAUGCAGUUCGAUUUGGGGAGUGUGGCCGUUCAAGACCAUUAGAUUUGUUCUUUUGUUCUUUCCCUUUUGCUAAUUUUUCAAAUGUCGGGCAGUGGAGGGCGUCCCCAUCGAAUGUGAUUGGGAUUGAUGCGAUGCUUCAUACAUUUUUCUACCGGACAAUGUCGGCAUCCGUUCAUGUGUAUCUCGACUGAUAUAUUUCACCAAAGAGAUUUUAAUC